AGAGUUUGAUCAUGGCUCAGAUUGAACGCUGGCGGCAGGCCUAACACAUGCAAGUCGAACGGUAACAGGAAGCAGCUUGCUGCUUUGCUGACGAGUGGCGGACGGGUGAGUAAUGUCUGGGAAACUGCCUGAUGGAGGGGGAUAACUACUGGAAACGGUAGCUAAUACCGCAUAACGUCGCAAGACCAAAGAGGGGGACCUUCGGGCCUCUUGCCAUCGGAUGUGCCCAGAUGGGAUUAGCUAGUAGGUGGGGUAAAGGCUCACCUAGGCGACGAUCCCUAGCUGGUCUGAGAGGAUGACCAGCCACACUGGAACUGAGACACGGUCCAGACUCCUACGGGAGGCAGCAGUGGGGAAUAUUGCACAAUGGGCGCAAGCCUGAUGCAGCCAUGCCGCGUGUAUGAAGAAGGCCUUCGGGUUGUAAAGUACUUUCAGCGGGGAGGAAGGGAGUAAAGUUAAUACCUUUGCUCAUUGACGUUACCCGCAGAAGAAGCACCGGCUAACUCCGUGCCAGCAGCCGCGGUAAUACGGAGGGUGCAAGCGUUAAUCGGAAUUACUGGGCGUAAAGCGCACGCAGGCGGUUUGUUAAGUCAGAUGUGAAAUCCCCGGGCUCAACCUGGGAACUGCAUCUGAUACUGGCAAGCUUGAGUCUCGUAGAGGGGGGUAGAAUUCCAGGUGUAGCGGUGAAAUGCGUAGAGAUCUGGAGGAAUACCGGUGGCGAAGGCGGCCCCCUGGACGAAGACUGACGCUCAGGUGCGAAAGCGUGGGGAGCAAACAGGAUUAGAUACCCUGGUAGUCCACGCCGUAAACGAUGUCGACUUGGAGGUUGUGCCCUUGAGGCGUGGCUUCCGGAGCUAACGCGUUAAGUCGACCGCCUGGGGAGUACGGCCGCAAGGUUAAAACUCAAAUGAAUUGACGGGGGCCCGCACAAGCGGUGGAGCAUGUGGUUUAAUUCGAUGCAACGCGAAGAACCUUACCUGGUCUUGACAUCCACGGAAGUUUUCAGAGAUGAGAAUGUGCCUUCGGGAACCGUGAGACAGGUGCUGCAUGGCUGUCGUCAGCUCGUGUUGUGAAAUGUUGGGUUAAGUCCCGCAACGAGCGCAACCCUUAUCCUUUGUUGCCAGCGGUCCGGCCGGGAACUCAAAGGAGACUGCCAGUGAUAAACUGGAGGAAGGUGGGGAUGACGUCAAGUCAUCAUGGCCCUUACGACCAGGGCUACACACGUGCUACAAUGGCGCAUACAAAGAGAAGCGAUCUCGCGAGAGCAAGCGGACCUCAUAAAGUGCGUCGUAGUCCGGAUUGGAGUCUGCAACUCGACUCCAUGAAGUCGGAAUCGCUAGUAAUCGUGGAUCAGAAUGCCACGGUGAAUACGUUCCCGGGCCUUGUACACACCGCCCGUCACACCAUGGGAGUGGGUUGCAAAAGAAGUAGGUAGCUUAACCUUCGGGAGGGCGCUUACCACUUUGUGAUUCAUGACUGGGGUGAAGUCGUAACAAGGUAACCGUAGGGGAACCUGCGGUUGGAUCACCU
rnacentral:rRNA from 26 species